ACAGGAGUGGGUUUAGCUGUGAGAUCUUGUUUUCAUCUGGAUCUGAAGUAGCCCUGCCUCAAGGGCUAUCCUGUCUCUUCAUUGCCAUCCCUGGCUGAAAGCUUCUGCCAAGAAAACAGGAGAUAUAAGCAGUUUUCACCUAACUGAGGCAGCCUGAUGAGAGGGCAACGAAGGUCUUGUCUAGUGAGAGGAAGCACGUGUUCAAGAUGGCACAAAGAGUUACUAGCAAAGUUGGGACGGACAUCAAGCUGUGCUCAGUCACUAGCAUCUUGAAGUUUGUGACUCUGUUCCAGCCUGCCCUCUAUGGUACUGAUCCAGAUAAGUUGACAAAAAUUCUGCAGUAUCAUGCCCCAGCUCUUAUGUGUCUGAAGGAGCUGAAGCAAAAAAAAGGUACUGGAUUUUCAGUACUUACAAAGUUGAUGAUGGGAGGCUAGAAAAAUGGAGUAUGGUAUGCAUA